rnacentral:lncRNA from 1 species
UCAUUGAGUUCAAUAGAAUCACAUCCCGAAUCUAGAUACCGAAGUAUCUAUCCGAUGAAUGUGGUACUUUACCGGAUCUCCUUAAUGGUGCCUCUACAAUGGAUUUUAGAUUUGAUCUAAUCAAAUUUGGUUCAUAGGUUCACCAGUUUGUGUCAGAUCUUCUAUCUGUUGAACUCAUAAGUUCCAUAUUAAAGGCAUCAGUACCUUCACCA